UGACAGCAUUGGCUUUGGAAGUGGGAGUUAGUCAUCCAGGAAAAUGAGGAGAUAUGAUCUCUUUGCUCAAGAAACCUGGAUGCCGAAAUCCAGGAUUCUUGCCAGGCCACGUCUCCAAUAAUGUGAAGGGAUCUAAGGAAAAAUUUCUCUGGAAAUUCUUUCACCCUCUGCUUUUGAACAUGCCGGUCAUACUAAUGGAUCCCACUCCAAGGUCUGGCCUCGGUUUCUUCAUUGAAAACUCUGCAGCCCUCACCCCAUCCCAGAAGAUUUGUAAAUGCAAAAGCCAGAUGGCACUGGAGGAAGAAACAAAGACUCAGCAAGCUUCAGGAACUGCGCCAAGGUCACAGGGCUAAGGAGGCAACUGGGGCAGGAUAUGAACCAAAGCUUAUACUGCAGACCUACUAAAUGACCUAUGGUAUGUCCAUGCCAUCCUGGUCUCACUGCUAGUCCUUUUGAUCCCAGCCCUGACCUCACCUCCCCCAGGAAGUCUCCCCAACUCCUACCCCUGACUAGAUGAGAGUUUUACCUGGGCUCCCCCAGCACCUGCACUCUGUGCAUCCCUGACUAUAGCACUUGAACUGCAUCAAAAGUGCUUUCAGAUCAGUAGUUACAGUGGAUGGGGAGAGAGGAAGGGACAAAUUAU